rnacentral:rRNA from 1 species
AACGAACGCUGGCGGCAGGCUUAACACAUGCAAGUCGAACGCCCCGCAAGGGGAGUGGCAGACGGGUGAGUAACGCGUGGGAAUCUACCCAGAUCUUCGGAACAACUGAGGGAAACUUCAGCUAAUACCGGAUACGCCCUACGGGGGAAAGAUUUAUCGGUUCUGGAUGAGCCCGCGUUGGAUUAGCUAGUUGGUGAGGUAACGGCUCACCAAGGCGACGAUCCAUAGCUGGUCUGAGAGGAUGAUCAGCCACACUGGGACUGAGACACGGCCCAGACUCCUACGGGAGGCAGCAGUGGGGAAUAUUGGACAAUGGGCGAAAGCCUGAUACAGCCAUGCCGCGUGAGUGAUGAAGGCCUUAGGGUUGUAAAGCUCUUUCAGUGGGGAAGAUAAUGACGGUACCCACAGAAGAAGCCCCGGCUAACUUCGUGCCAGCCGCCGCGGUAACAC